GCCUAACACAUGCAAGUCGAGGGGUAUAGUUCUUCGGAGCUAGAGACCGGCGCACGGGUGCGUAACGCGUAUGCAAUCUACCUUAUACAGGGGAAUAGCCCAGAGAAAUUUGGAUUAAUGCCCCAUAGUGUUAUAGAAUGGCAUGGUUUUAUAACUAAAGUUCCAACGGUAUAAGAUGAGCAUGCGUCCCAUUAGUUAGUUGGUAAGGUAACGGCUUACCAAGGCGAUGAUGGGUAGGGGUCCUGAGAGGGAGAUCCCCCACACUGGUACUGAGACACGGACCAGACUCCUACGGGAGGCAGCAGUGAGGAAUAUUGGUCAAUGGGCGCAAGCCUGAACCAGCCAUGCCGCGUGCAGGAAGAAUCAUCUAUGGUGUGUAAACUGCUUUUAUACAGGAAGAAACCUCCCUACGAGUAGGGACUUGACGGUACUGUAGGAAUAAGGAUCGGCUAACUCCGUGCCAGCAGCCGCGGUAAUAC
rnacentral:rRNA from 1 species